AGUGAACGCUGGCGGUAGGCCUAACACAUGCAAGUCGAACGGCAGCACAGUAAGAGCUUGCUCUUCCGGGUUGCCAGUGGCGGACGGGUGAGGAAUAUAUCGGACUCUACUUUUUCGUGGGGGUUCACGUAGGUGAACUUACGCUAAUACCGCAUACGACCUACGAUUGAAAGCAGGGGAUCUUCUGACCUUGCGGGGUUGAAUUCGCCGAUGUCGGAUUAGCUGGUUGGCGGGGUAAAGGCCCAUCAAGGCGACGAUCCGUAGCUGGUCUGAGAGAAUGAUCAGCCACACUGGAACUGGAACACGGUCCAGACGCCUAAGAGAGGCAGCAGUGGGGAAUGUUGGACAAUGGGCGCAAGCAUGAUCCAGCCAUAGCGCGUGGGAGAAGGAGGCGUUCGGGGUGUAAAGACGGUUUGUUGGGAAAAAAAAGCAGCAGGUUAAGACCCCGCGGGUCUGACGGUACCGAAAGAAUAAGCACCGGCUAACUUCGUG
rnacentral:rRNA from 1 species